rnacentral:rRNA from 1 species
CUUCCGUAGGUUCACGAGCGGAAGGAUCAGUA